GGCACACAGAUAGCACAGAGCGAACUAUUCUUUCGCCUUUUACUAAAGAAUAAUGUGUGCUCGCUGCUUUUAUGUGGCAUACCCUAUUUUUGGAGAGUCUCUUCUAAUGAAGAACU
rfam:Helianthus annuus linkage group 8, whole genome shotgun sequence.